rnacentral:rRNA from 1 species
AGGGUUUUCCGUAAGGUUGAAACUUUGCCGGAAGGAAUCAUUUAAACGAAGCCGAAGGGUCCCUUUGGGG